rnacentral:tRNA from 1 species
GCCCGGAUGGUGAAAUUGGUAGACACGCAGCGUUCAGGUCGCUGUGGGAGUGAUCCCAUGGGGGUCCAAAUCCCCCUUCGGGCA